CUUGUCCCGAUUCUUACUGUAAUCUGGGGCUCUGCACGUGUAAUAAAUCUGUUUGCAGGGGGUACAGAUGAGUUCUUGUUCUCCUGUGCUAACUGCUAUUCUGCUUUAGCUUCAACUCUAGUGACCUAUGGGAAUAGGUGGGGUUUUGUGCAGGUUGGGGUUUACAGCAAGGGGUUUGUGCAGGCAUCGAAGGAUACAUGGGAGACAUUUAGGAGAGUACGGUUGGAAUCACUAAUUGACUCAGACCUUACAGGGUCAUUCUGUUUCUUAUCUGGGAUAGCAGGAGGUGCAAUAUGCACCCUGGUGGGAGGAACAU
rnacentral:misc_RNA from 1 species